rnacentral:rRNA from 1 species
UACGUAGGUGGCAAGCGUUGUCCGGAUUUAUUGGGUUUAAAGGGUGCGUAGGCGGCCUUGUAAGUCAGUGCUGAAAUAUCCCGGCUUAACCGGGAGGGUGGCAUUGAUACUGCAGGGCUUGAGUAAAGUUGAGGUUGGCGGAAUUGACGGUGUAGCGGUGAAAUGCGCAGAUAUCAGGAGGAACACCAACGGCGAAGGCAGCUCGCUGGGACGGUACUGACACUGAGGCGCGAAAGCGUGGGGAGCGAACAGG